rnacentral:rRNA from 1 species
GAUGAACGCUGGCGGCGUGCCUAAUACAUGCAAGUCGAGCGAACGGACGAGAAGCUUGCUUCUCUGAUGUUAGCGGCGGACGGGUGAGUAACACGUGGAUAACCUACCUAUAAGACUGGGAUAACUUCGGGAAACCGGAGCUAAUACCGGAUAAUAUUUUGAACCGCAUGGUUCAAAAGUGAAAGACGGUCUUGCUGUCACUUAUAGAUGGAUCCGCGCUGCAUUAGCUAGUUGGUAAGGUAACGGCUUACCAAGGCAACGAUGCAUAGCCGACCUGAGAGGGUGAUCGGCCACACUGGAACUGAGACACGGUCCAGACUCCUACGGGAGGCAGCAGUAGGGAAUCUUCCGCAAUGGGCGAAAGCCUGACGGAGCAACGCCGCGUGAGUGAUGAAGGUCUUCGGAUCGUAAAACUCUGUUAUUAGGGAAGAACAUAUGUGUAAGUAACUGUGCACAUCUUGACGGUACCUAAUCAGAAAGCCACGGCUAACUACGUGCCAGCAGCCGCGGUAAUACGUAGGUGGCAAGCGUUAUCCGGAAUUAUUGGGCGUAAAGCGCGCGUAGGCGGUUUUUUAAGUCUGAUGUGAAAGCCCACGGCUCAACCGUGGAGGGUCAUUGGAAACUGGAAAACUUGAGUGCAGAAGAGGAAAGUGGAAUUCCAUGUGUAGCGGUGAAAUGCGCAGAGAUAUGGAGGAACACCAGUGGCGAAGGCGACUUUCUGGUCUGUAACUGACGCUGAUGUGCGAAAGCGUGGGGAUCAAACAGGAUUAGAUACCCUGGUAGUCCACGCCGUAAACGAUGAGUGCUAAGUGUUAGGGGGUUUCCGCCCCUUAGUGCUGCAGCUAACGCAUUAAGCACUCCGCCUGGGGAGUACGACCGCAAGGUUGAAACUCAAAGGAAUUGACGGGGACCCGCACAAGCGGUGGAGCAUGUGGUUUAAUUCGAAGCAACGCGAAGAACUUUACCAAAUCUUGACAUCCUUUGACAACUCUAGAGAUAGAGCUUUCCCCUUCGGGGGACAAAGUGACAGGUGGUGCAUGGUUGUCGUCAGCUCGUGUCGUGAGAUGUUGGGUUAAGUCCCGCAACGAGCGCAACCCUUAAGCUUAGUUGCCAUCAUUAAGUUGGGCACUCUAAGUUGACUGCCGGUGACAAACCGGAGGAAGGUGGGGAUGACGUCAAAUCAUCAUGCCCCUUAUGAUUUGGGCUACGCACGUGCUACAAUGGACAAUACAAAGGGCAGCGAAACCGCGAGGUCAAGCAAAUCCCAUAAAGUUGUCCUCAGUUCGGAUUGUAGUCUGCAACUCGACUACAUGAAGCUGGAAUCGCUAGUAAUCGUAGAUCAGCAUGCUACGGUGAAUACGUUCCCGGGUCU